GAUGAACGCUGGCGGUGUGCCUAAUACAUGCAAGUCGAGCGAACAGACGAGGAGCUUACUCCUCUGACGUUAGCGGCGGACGGGUGAGUAACACGUGGAUAACCUACCUAUAAGACUGGGAUAACUUCGGGAAACCGGAGCUAAUACCGGAUAACAUGUUGAACCGCAUGGUUCAACAGUGAAAGACGGUCUUGCUGUCACUUAUAGAUGGAUCCGCGUCGCAUUAGCUAGUUGGUAAGGUAACGGCUUACCAAGGCAACGAUGCGUAGCCGACCUGAGAGGGUGAUCGGCCACACUGGAACUGAGACAAGGUCCAGACUCCUACGGGAGGCAGCAGUAGGGAAUCUUCCGCAAUGGGCGAAAGCCUGACGGAGCAACGCCGCGUGAGUGAAGAAGGUCUUCGGAUCGUAAAACUCUGUUAUUAGGGAAGAACAAAUGUGUAAGUAACUAUGCACGUCCUGACGGUACCUAAUCAGAAAGCCACGGCUAACUACGUG
rnacentral:rRNA from 1 species